AAUCCGAUUUCACCAAAAAAUUGAGUUGUGCAUUACACCCUGCUGUGUGAACGCAGCCUCAGUGAGUUAUGGAGUGAAGAUGAUGUCUUGUGGAUGUUGACUUUAAAAUGCUUCAGCAGUGGCUUUGUUGUUUCACUUUGGUCGACAAUUCUGAAAGUCCAAGGUCGUUUAUUUCGUUGACGGUGCAAACACCUUUAACUCUGCACCACUCAUCUGAGACAAACCAGGUAAAAUGAAAACCCAGACAGUCUGCCUGGCCUGGUGCUGGUGGGGGGGACAGUCCUGUUGAACAUGUUUCAGUUGGUCUUUGGUUUUUCUUUUUUACAAAGUGCCUGGUUUAGUUUCUGUCCAUUACUUCCUGUUUUAACCUCUGCUCUUAUCUGACAUGCCUGCCCCCGAUGAAAGCACAGCGCUGCUUUGAAUCACUGACUAAAGCCAUUCUGGACCGUUUGAAUGGACCGACUGGACCUGAACAGUGAACAUCAUUCGGUCUCUAGUGUCUCUGUUUGUAUUUUUAAGUGCCCAUCUUCUUCUUUUAAAUGAAUCCACGUUGGUGUCGUCAGUGCCAGUGUGUACUAGUACUUAAAUAGUCUGUGGUUUAAUUUAUUCUUUUUUUUUUUUCAUAAUUUUUGAUUCCUGUCAUGAUUUUUGGAAUCACAGAAUUCUUGACCAUCUUGACCACUUUGACAGCAUUUACAUGUUCCAUUUUAGACAGAUGUCGUGGCUGUGUGUACAGUUAUUCUGGUUUCAGGGAGACCAUAAUGUGAUUGUGUUUCAUCAUGUGACUCACCAUGGUUUUAAUCCCAAACCAGACUUUACAUUUAUUUCUGAAACACAGGAAGCUCAUUCAGAACAUCUGCUCAGUUCACAGGUUACCCCCCGCUUUACCUCAGCUGUAAAGUGUAGCUGCGGUGAAGGGCUUUUAGAGCCACAUUGAGGAUUGGAACAGUUAUUCCCAGAAUAGAAUAUUAUUUCAAGAAAGCAGUAAAACUUUACUAAUGUUUCACAGAAAAAGUCAUGAUUAAAGACAAAAAUCUAUCAAUAAAGUUUCUAUUGUUUUUUAGAGAAGAAUGUCAUAAUAACACAAGAAUAAAGUCUCUACUUUGAGAAAACAACUCACAAUAUUGCAGGGAACAAGUGAAUUAUACAAGUAAAGACAGUUAGUUGAAUAGUACUGGAAGAAGUCAAUAUUUCA